AUGGUUUCUCUACAGAAAUAUCUCCUUAAGAAUGAUCCUCAGUUCUCUCUGAAAAUCCAUCCACCGAAAGCAAAGGAGCUUUUCAUAAACAAAAAAGCAGUAAUCGACUGUGUCAUAAAUGGUGAUAGUAGGAAGCAGGUGGAAGGAGCAGGAGUGUCAUGGACAGUUGGAGGGAACCCAGCAACUCGUGAUGUUCGUACUGGUAGUGUUACACAGGCAGGAUCAUCAUUUACCAAAACUAGCACACUGACCCUUGAAGAGUCAAAAUGGUUUUCAGGUACAGAAGUGAUUUGCUCCACCUCAAGAGACCAAAGAACAAUCUCUGACAAAAUUACUGUUAAAAAAGGAGGACAACGUCCCUCUAUUAUCAUUUACAAGCCGGAUAAGACUGUCAGUGAUUCUGACUCGGUGUCCCUGGUUUGUGAGGUCAGCAGCUCUGAUCUGGCAAAUGUCUACAUCAUGUGGCAAGUGAACAAUGGUCAGUACAUAGAAGGCAACAGCAUGGCCACCAUCAAAAAUGACAAGAUACUGAUUGUCCUCAGCUACUUAACCGUGACUGGACAGCAGUACAACAGUGCAGAAAUCACUUGUGCAGUCAAAGAUGCCAACAUGCAGAAUGACUUCCAGCCGAGAACGAGCUCACCAUCUAAGACAAGCUCUCCACCAACUAUCCGUCUGGUGGAAUUUGGCCAAUCCAUUAUGUGUAUCAUUGAGGACUUCUACCCAAAGGCUUUGACUAUAAAAUGGAAAAAGGAUGACCGUGAAGUCAAAGGCCGGGACUGGAAAACCACAGAAAAUGACUCGGGUUCUUACAGAGCGGUCAGUGUCCUCGAAGCGAAUCUGAUGUCUUCGAGCCCGGGAACCAAAUACACCUGUGAAGUCACACAUGAGACCAAAACUUACUCAGAUAAUCUGGCAUAUAGAGCUAACUUCUAUUUGAAAAUCAAUCCACCACAAGCAAAGGACCUGUUUCUAAACAAAAAAGCAGUAAUCGAGUGUGUCAUAACUGGUGAUAAUCAGAAGGAGGUGGAAGGAGCAACAGUGUCAUGGACAGUUGGAGGGAACCCACCAACUGGUGGUGUUCAGAAUGGCACUGUUACACAGACAGAAUCAUCAUUUACCAAAACUAGCACACUGAACCUUGAAGAGUCAAAAUGGUUUUCAGGUAGUGAAGUGAUUUGCUCCACCACAAGAGACCAAAUAACAACCUCUGACAAAAUCAGUGUUAAAAAAGGAGGACAACGUCCCUCUAUUAUCAUUUACAAGCCUGAUAUGUCUGUCAGGGACUCUGACACGGGCUCUUUGGUUUGUAUGGUCAGCAGCUCUGAUCUCGGGAAUGUCUACAUCAUGUGGCAAGUGAACGACGGUCAAUUUACAGAAGGCAACAGCACGGCCACUAUCAUCAAAAAAGACAACACAUCGAUUGUCCUCAGCUACUUAACCGUGACUGGAAAGGAUUAUAAUAAUGCAAAAUUCACUUGUGCUGUCAAAGAUGCCAACAUGAAGAAUGAAAUCCAGCCAAGACAAAACACAACAUCUACCAUGGAGCUUCCAAAGCCAGAUCCAGGAUUGUAUAUACAAUGCAAUAAUGAUAUUUCGGAGGAGGACGAGUUCAACAGCCUGUGGUCCACCGCCUCGUCCUUCAUCUUCCUCUUCCUCUUCUCUCUCAUCUACAGCACUGUCCUCAGCCUCUCCAAGAUGAAAUGA